CAGUUAAGAACACAUUCUUAUUUACAAUGUUAUGUAUUGCUCAUCAUUGUUGUCGGCUGUUGUUUACUUAUUUAUUUGUUGUCUCAUCACAUUAUUUUACAAAAAAAAACGGAAACGUAGCUAACACAUCAGUAUUUAUUGUUUCGACGGGUCUUUUUAGUGGUAUGGGGUUCCAGUAUGGCGUCGCUGGUCGCAUUGAUUGACAGAUCAUCCCUGAAGUUGUUUUAUUACGUAAAAGUUGUUUCACAUUAUGACGUUGGCUGAGUUACCGUAUAAAAUGCGAUAGCCUUAUCUCUUUGGUAAUCACUUGGUUAAGUUUUACGUGAUGAGAACAUAAGCUCCAGUCAUAGACUUUAACCAUGGAGGAUAAUAAGGAUAAUAAGAGUUUAAACGAAGAUGAUCCACAUGAUCAUCAAAGUUUGGAAGGUCAAGUCCAGAAAAUGAAGAAAGAUAUCCUGGGUUUAAACUAUCCAGAAGAUAGUGAAGUGAAGGAUCCCCUGCAUCAGAUCGAGCUGAAGGCUGUGACAAGGAAAAAAGUUAAGGUGAGACAAUAGAUUGAGGAGAGAAAGGGAAAUCUGGGGUCUUACCUGUCCACACUCCAAACCUGUCCAAUAUGCCAUACAACAUGCUGUUGUGAGGUUGGAGGGUAAAUUGUCCUUACAACAGACUUCCAUAAUAAUAUUCAAUCACCAAUCGUUUACCCUAGCUCUUCUCAAAGGCCUGUAUAGCAACGGCAACAUACAGUAUGUCACUGACUGUAUUGUCUUUUUAGACAAAGAGGAGGACCGGUGCCAACAGGUCCACAGUUGAACAGAGCACUGAUACUGAUGCAGCUGAGAGAGAUUUUGUUGAUAAUCAGAAUGAUGAAGAUGAGGAAGAGGUGAAGAAGGAUCCCCUGCCUCAGAUGGAGCAGGAUGCCGUGAAGAGAAAUAAAGUCAAGGUAAGGGAAUAGAUUGAGCAGAGAUGUGGAUAUUUGUGAUAUCUUUCAUGUCUAUAACCUGACCCUACAGCAUGUUGUUCUGAGGAAGGUAAAUUGCCCAUACAAUACCCUUUUAUCUUCUAAUAGUAAAUCUAGGGCUGACCCCAUUUGGUCGAUUGUUUGGUCGAUAGGCUAUUGGUUGACUGGGAUUUCUUAAGUCGAGCAGUCGCAAAAGUUUUUUUUCUUCAUGGUGCACAUGGACACCUGUCUGAUUCGCGCCUGUCACAGUUGACUAAUCCAUUGCCGAGGCCACAGUGAUGGCACAGU
rnacentral:lncRNA from 1 species